UUACUAAAUAUUCAUAAAUUUGAUUCACAUAAUAAGAUCUUUAGCAAGUCAAAGCAUCAUGAUCCCUGCAGAUUGACCAACUUCAUUUUUAAAAAAAGGGGUAAAAAAAUUGAAGGGCAUCUGUUUGACUGUUGUGGAAAUCAGAAAUGGUGAAGAGGAGAGAGAGAGAAAGAGAGAGAGAGAGGGAGAGGAGGGAGAGAGAGGAUAAAACGCAAUAUGUGGAGUAUUGGAAGCCUUAGAAAUACGAAGGUACAACAAAAGGGUAAAAGGGGGUGCGGUUGACUCUCAAUCGCCCGUUCCCAAACCCUCUGAAAAUGGCAUCAUACACUUACAGUUACAGUGGUGA